CCCAGGCGAUCCUUCACGAGCUGGCGCAGAGCGCUGAGAGCGGCGUCCACGAUGGCUUCACCCGUCCUGCCACCUACGGGAAGACAAGGCCAGCAGGUGAUUCGUGUGAACGAGAACAUUCUGGCCGCCCCCAAACACCAUCCACCCCUGAGGACAGCUCACUAAUGUUUACUGAACGUAUAACAUGCACACAGACAAAAAAAAAAAAAAAAAAAAAAAAAAAAAAAAAGA